rnacentral:rRNA from 1 species
AGCGAACGCUAGCGGCGGGCCUAACACAUGCAAGUCGAGCGCAUACCUUCGGGUAUGAGCGGCGGACGGGUGAGUAACACGUAGGUAACCUACCCUUUGGUGGGGAAUAACCCGGGGAAACUCGGGCUAAUGCCGCACGAGGUCUACGGAUCAAAGCCUUCGGGCGCCAGAGGAUGAGCCUGCGUUGCAUUACCUAGUUGGCGGGGUAACGGCCCACCAAGGGGACGAUGCAUAGCUGGUCUGAGAGGAUGAUCAGCCACACUGGGACUGAGACACGGCCCAGACUCCUACGGGAGGCAGCAGUGGGGAAUAUUGCGCAAUGGGGGAAACCCUGACGCAGCUACGCCGCGUGGGUGAUGAAGGCCUUCGGGUUGUAAAGCCCUGUCGGGAGGGACGAAUUCUGACGGUACCUCCCAAGAAAGCACCGGCUAACUCCGUGCCAGCAG